UACGGAGGGUGCAAGCGUUAAUCGGAAUUACUGGGCGUAAAGGGCACGCGGGCGGUGUGUCAAGUCAGAUGUGAAAUCCCCGGGCUCAACCCGGGAACUGCAUUCGAGACUGGCAGACUAGAGUAUUGUAGAGGGGGGUAGAAUUCCAGGUGUAGCGGUGAAAUGCGUAGAGAUCUGGAGGAAUACCGGUGGCGAAGGCGGCCCCCUGGACGAAUACUGACGCUCAGGUGCGAAAGCGUGGGGAGCAAACAGG
rnacentral:rRNA from 1 species